ACGGUUGUGGUGUAGUGGUAACAUGCUUGCCUUCCAAGCAAGCGCCUCGGGUUCAAUUCCCGGCAGCCGUA
rnacentral:tRNA from 1 species